rfam:Bombyx mori DNA, contig: Bm_scaf12_contig9577, strain: p50T/Dazao, build 2, whole genome shotgun sequence.
UUAACUCAAGUUUGUAUCGAGUUGGAACGUUUGCCUCUAGGGACACUGUUCCAACUGCAUACAAAUUUGAGUUA